CCAUGUACCGCAGUGGCAAUGCAGCCAGCUGCUGCUCUGAAGACGAAGGUUCGAGUCCUC
rnacentral:tRNA from 1 species